GAGACAGCGUGCAAUGUGCCACCGCUUAGGCAUGACAUCGAGCGGCCUUCGUGGCGCCAUUACGUUAAGUCUCCAUGACGUUGGCGCCUCCCGAGGUCUCCGUGCCUGAGGUUACUAUAUCUUCUCUAGCCACCAUCGCUGCGAUCAGAGAGGUUUCGGCGCUUGCAUCCCCGCUCCGGCCUCGAGGUGAAGAACGCGUAGCGUGCGGAGUCGAACCUGAGCAGUCGUUAAUGGGCCUCGGUUGGCGUUACGACCCGUGCCAGUCAUGCGGUGUCAGACUAACAAGGGAGCGGGGCGUCAGCGGGUGUCUCUUAUCGUAAUUAUUACCCUCAUCAUCAUGAGACUUUGAAUGACAUUGGGAUAAGAUUGUCAAGCCUGAUGUUUCUUAAUAAUUAAAUCCGAGGGGCCUUUGACUGAAAUGUAAAAUGUCACGUAUCCAGCUAUGGCUGUUGUUGUUACUUGUGCUGUUAUCUUGUAUAGCAGACAGUGUAUCAACAAUGAAUCAUCAAAAAGAUCGGUCGAUCAAAUCUGCAGUCUUCCUCUCUCCUCCUUUCUUUCUACAUCCUGGGUCUGUGGCCAAUAAAUUUUACUUUAACAUCCCGUUUCCGAAAGGCCAUAUCGCUCUCAAGAGCUUUGAUGCUGAGGUGAUUGAUGAGAAUGGCAUUCCUGUCCCCCUUCAUGAAACUUAUCUUCAUCACUGGGUCAUAGAAAGAUACUAUGGUAGAAAGGAAAGCCUUGCUGAUGGAAAUUCAGAGUUGAAAGCGUUCAACCAUUCCAAUUUCAUAUGGAUGAGAAAUGCUGGAAUCUGUAAGGGUACUCUGGGGCAGUACUAUGGUCUUGGUUCAGAAACCCGCAGAACUUCCACAUGGGUCCCCGAUCCCUAUGGCAUAGAAGUUGGGAACCCUGAGAAAAUUCCGGAUGGUUACAAGGAGAAAUGGCUAUUAAAUGUCCAUGCAAUCGAUACACGAGGUGUGGAGGAUCGUUUGGGGUGCACAGAGUGCAAGUGCAGUCUGUACAAUGUGACCAUGGAUGAGUUUGGUCGGGCUCUGCCGAAAGAUUAUGAUGGAGGAUUGCAUUGUUGCUAUGACCAGACACAAUGUCAAGUAAGGGCAGGCAUUCAAAAUGUCUCCAGGAUUCUGUAUCUUAAAUACACAGUCAAGUGGCUCAACUGGGUUGAAAACAUUAUACCUGUCAAGAUCUAUAUCUUCGAUGUAACUUAUUCAGGAGAACAUUCAGUUGAUCCAAGUAAAGAAAAUCCUUUAAAUCUGAGUUGUAAGGUGGAGUACGAAAUCAAGUCUUGCAAAGAUAAUGGUGGAUGCGUGGAUACUAAAAGAACACAGUUGGUUAUUCCCACAGGGGGUGAUAUUGUGUAUGGUGUUGCACACCAGCACUCAGCCGGUCUAGGUGCUACUCUCUAUGGUCAGGACGGGCGGGUCUUGUGCACUUCUAAUCCGACAUAUGGAGAUGGGGAAGAAGCAGGGAACGAAGCUGGCUACAUCGUGGGGAUGUCUACUUGUUACCCUAAGCCAGGCUCAGUCCAAGUCGUGGAUGGAGAGAUGUUGACUCUGGAGUCCAAUUACAGCAGCAACCAAGCUCAUACAGGAGUGAUGGGGCUUUUCUACGUAUUGGUAGCUGAAGCUGUACCAAAGAGCAAGACCAUGCUAUUUCUCAGCUUUCCUGGUUCUUUGGAUCUGGGGCUCACAAAGCACACUUGGUCCUUCGUCCUCGCCGGUGGUAUGCUAACAGCCAUCUUCGGAAUCAGCUACUUGUGUAAAAGAGGCCGCAGGAAACCAUAUCACCCUCUGGUGCUGACUUAGUGCAAUAGUGGUCAAAAUACUGCUUUCCAACUCGCUUAUUACUUUACUGUACAUGGAACUCUCUCCACAGUACGUGUCUUAGCUCUGGUAGAAAUGAGACAAUGUUCUUUUGUGGUUGUAGAAGAAACAAUGGUUGGAAUAUCUUGUACACAGAUUGAAGAUGAGCUCUGAUAAGAGCAAAUGACACUGCGAGCCUUCUGCUCUGUUCUGUGACAUGAACUGAUCCCAAAACUGAAAGAGCUCAUCUCUGUGUCUCUGUUUGUGAACUAAACUGAUCGAGAAGACUUCAGUGGAGAUUGAUGUCCUCUAACUACGCAAACACCAUGACUGCGGCCAUUCUCCUCCUCUAAGUCGAUCUAUUGAAUUGGAUUUUUAUUCCAAGAAAGUACAGAAUUACAAGGAAAAUAAAGAACAAGAGAAGAAGCUCAAGAACAU